AACGAACGCUGGCGGCAUGCCUAACACAUGCAAGUCGAACGAGACCUUCGGGUCUAGUGGCGCACGGGUGCGUAACGCGUGGGAACCUGCCCUUAGGUUCGGAAUAACUCCCCGAAAGGGGUGCUAAUACCGGAUAAUGUCUUCGGACCAAAGAUUUAUCGCCUUUGGAUGGGCCCGCGUUGGAUUAGCUAGUUGGUAGGGUAAAAGCCUACCAAGGCGACGAUCCUAGCUGGUCUGAGAGGAUGAUCAGCCACACUGGGACUGAGACACGGCCCAGACUCCUACGGGAGGCAGCAGUGGGGAAUAUUGGACAAUGGGCGAAAGCCUGAUCCAGCAAUGCCGCGUGAGUGAUGAAGGCCUUAGGGUUGUAAAGCUCUUUUACCCGGGAUGAUAAUGACAGUACCGGGAGAAUAAGCUCCGGCUAACUCCGUG
rnacentral:rRNA from 1 species